rnacentral:lncRNA from 1 species
CUCGGCUCUGCAGCUUCUUUUCAUGCCCUUCGACGCAAGUACGACGUAUACUUUAUAUACCACAUCCAACUUCAUCAACAAAUGUGGAGCUAGCAGCGAUUAAUAUUGCACUAUAAUAGGCGCAAGAGGA